UCCCAGAUGAUCAGCAGCUAGCAGUGAGCAGUGGGGCUGAGUGGGUCCCUGCACCAAUCAGAAGUGGUUAGGGAUGAGUGCGUAGUGAAAAGAGCAAGAUUAAAGGAGCUAUUGUGCUGCAUACUUUCACUGCGAUUCAGGGGCCUAAAAUUGUCAUGUAGACCACCAAGAUGAAACAGUAACUCAGAAUUAACAAGUUUCAAUACAUGUAGAAGAAACAGCAUCACCUCCUGAAAGGAGGAAAAAUAUCACAGAACAUGGAAUAUUAAUACAGAAUCUCUGCUCAUUUUUCUGCCCACCUUACAAACAACUUAAUCUUGGAGUCCAGGGCUUCCUGACCACACACAGAAGCCAUCACAAGAAAGAAAGAAAGAAAGAAAGAAAGAAAGAAAGAAAGAAAGAAAGAAAGAAAGAAAGAAAGAAUACUUGGCACAUUGAAAAGGAUAUCUGAGCUAAUUAAGCUAAUUAAUAAAUUUCAUGUUACACAUGUACAACGUCUCUAACUUUAA